UUAUUCAGGAUCCUUUCAACAUGCAAG
rnacentral:piRNA from 1 species